rnacentral:rRNA from 1 species
UCCGGAUUUACUGGGCGUAAAGAGCGCGCAGGCGGUCGUUCAAGUCGAGUGUGAAAGCCCCCGGCUCAACUGGGGAGGGUCAUUCGAUACUGAUCGACUCGAAGGCAGGAGAGGGAAGCGGAAUUCCCGGUGUAGUGGUGAAAUGCGUAGAUAUCGGGAGGAACACCAGUGGCGAAGGCGGCUUCCUGGCCUGUUCUUGACGCUGAGGCGCGAAAGCUAGGGGAGCAAACGGG